UGCUCUGCUCACAAGGACCUUGGGACUCUGGCGGCAGCAGGUGCGACGAACAGCAUCUAUAGACCUGUUGCCUUAUAGGAUGGACCUACACAGAUUAAAUAUUUGCUACACAGAAUAAUACUUGUUACCAUAUUAAUAUUUGACUCAAUCAUUUAAAACAAUCUUACAUGUUUUCUUUUAAAUACCUGAAGGGAAUUUGAAAAUAAUAAUGAAGUCUGGAUUUAUUCAGAUGCUGAGGAAGAGGAAAGAGUUUAAAUAAAAGCACAAACCCUGAACCCUGGGAGAGACUGGACCCAUCUAAACCACAGAAGGUGAUUGAUAACAUUAUAAACACUUUUUAUGUCUGUCUAUUUCUAACCUGUCUGUUAGUAUUGACAUUUUCUUGCUUUUUUUGGCUUAAUUAGUGUGCUGUGUAUGCUUUACAUUAUAAACACUCUUCAUAUGCCUAGUUAUUUCUGAUAGAGGACCACUCUAAUUUGAUAUUGAUAUUGGUAUGGGUAUUGAGACCACUCUGUGGUUAACAUUAUGGGUAUAGGUUGUGUGCCAAUGCAGUGGUUCUAAUGCAGUGGUUCCUCCUCUAUUCUGCUGAGUCCCACAACAGGGCAACAUAGCCAAGGAGGAUUAUAACUUACCAUAAACAGCUGGGCAUCCAUCGGGGGGCGGGACAUCUCCCAUUUCUACUGUCAUCUAAAACUGGUCACUAUCAACCAGAAAUGGAGGCCCAUUAAAGAGCUGGAGCUGGUGAAGAGUAUCUUUCUAUUUCUCUCCAUUCUCUCCCAUCCCCCCCUCAUCCUGAAUGAGAGCUGCCUCCUUGCCCUUCCUGCACCCCUUCCCAG